rnacentral:rRNA from 1 species
AUGGUCGGGGCAAUCGUCAGCGGCCAGAUGGUGGAGCACGUUGGCCACAAAGGGGUGCCCGUUUACAUAGCAGAGAUUUCUCCUCAGAACAAGAGGGGCACUCUAGGCUCUGUGAACCCGUUGUCUAUAACAAUUGGGACGGUGUUGGCCUAUGUGGUCGGCAUGCUUGUUACUUGGAGGAUGCUUGCGAUGAUAGGAACCUUGCCAUGCACAAUAUUGAUACCUGGCCUAUUCUUCAUUCCAGAAUCUCCAAGAUGGCUGGCAAAGAUGAACAAGAUGCAUGAUUUUGAAGCCUCUCUACAAGUUUUGAGAGGAUCUGAGACCGAUAUAACCUCAGAAGUGAAUGUUAUAAAGACAGCGGUAGCAUCAGCAAACAAAAGGACGGCAAUCCGUUUCCAAGAGUUAAACCAAAAGAAAUUCCGCAUGCCCCUGAUACUAGGAAUUGGCCUGCUUGUACUACAACAACUAAGUGGGAUCAAUGCUAUACUUUUUUAUGCAGGUAGCAUCUUCAAAACUGCAGGUCUUACAAACAGCAAUUUGGCCGCAUGUGGAGUUGGAGCUAUUGCGCUUCUUGCCACUGGAGUUACAACCUGGUUACUAGACAGAGCUGGCCGACGGAUCCUACUUAUUAUCUCUUCUGCCGGAAUGACCGUAAGUCUUCUUGCAAUUGCCGUCAUAUUUUUUCUCAAGGACAAUGUUCCACAAGAUUCUGACAUGUAUUAUAUAUUAAGCAUGGUCUCCUUGUUUGCUAUCUUGGCUUGUGUAAUCACCUACUCCUUCGGUAUGGGCGCCAUUCCAUGGGUCAUAAUGUCUGAGAUCCUGCCGGUUAGCAUCAAGAGCCUGGCGGGAAGCUUCGCGACGCUCGCCAACUGGCUAACCUCCUUUGGGAUGACAAUGACAGCAAACUUGCUGCUCAGCUGGAGUGCUGGAGGUACCUUUGUGUGCUACAUGCUCGUGAGCGCUUUCACGCUUGUGUUCAUCAUCCUCUGGGUUCCGGAGACCAAGGGAAGAACUCUCGAGGAGAUACAAUGGUCAUUCCGCUGA